UACGGGGGGGGCAAGCGUUGUUCGGAAUUACUGGGCGUAAAGGGCUCGUAGGCGGCCAACUAAGUCAGACGUGAAAUCCCUCGGCUUAACCGGGGAACUGCGUCUGAUACUGGAUGGCUUGAGAUUGGGAGAGGGAUGCGGAAUUCCAGGUGUAGCGGUGAAAUUCGUAGAUAUCUGGAGGAACACCGGUGGCGAAGGCGGCAUCCUGGACCAACACUGACGCUGAGUGAGCGAAAGCCAGGGGAGCAAACGGG
rnacentral:rRNA from 1 species